UGACUUUUGUUUUUUGUUUUGUUUUAUUUCGGGAUAAACGUAAAAUUGUCUGGAGAAAAUGGAGACAGAGUUGCAAGCGAGCAGCCUCCUCUCCCGAAUGCUGAAAACCGGACUGGAGAAUAUUGCAGCGGAUGUAGAAGUUGGUCGGUCCAAAAUUAAUCAAAUCGGAGAUGCAUCUGUAGUUUUUGGUGAGUUGUUUUUUGGUUCAUGGCUGCUGGCCGCCAUGUGCACCUUUACGGAGCCAUGUCUGCGGUCUGGAUGUGUCUGGUGUGUAGGGGAAAGAGAGGUACGGAGAGAAGAGCGGCGGCGCAGGGCACGUACAGUCACAACGGAGGAGGAGUCUGGAGUUCGGUGGGCGCGGUUCACUUUGGAGAACUGUUGCAUGUCAUGCUUAUGAUCCAUACUCCAUGAUACACUCUCACGAUAUUAUAAAACCUCUCGUAAUGGCUGGCCACUACCCGUCUAAAGGUCGGAAACAUUAAUAUUUAUUCAUUUUUUAACCAGGCUGCGUUUUUUUAAAAAUCAGAACUAAUAAUAAAAAUCGGUUAAAUGUUAAAAUUAUUAUGUAAAUCCAAUAUUAGAUUUUUUUCCAUUGUUUUUUUAAUUGUACCACGUGACCCUUGUACAUUUUUUACAGCAGGCCAUUAGCCAGAGGGGGUUCAAAAGACCCACUCCGCUACUGACAAAGCUCAUUUGUCCUAUUUUGACUGAUAUGCCAUCAUAAAUAAUCAAAAUAACCCAUCGAAAAGGGCUUCAAGAGCAAGCGGAAUCUGAUGCAAGUAAAGUCAACUUUCAUUGUAUUGUUGUUAAAUAGAGAAAACAUUUUAAGUAACUGUUAUUUUAAAUCUUGGACCUAAUUCUUGAAACAAAAAAUGACCGAAAAAAUGUUGUAAAGCACCAAAGGCAGCCCAUAUUAACGUUACUUAAAAUACUUAUUAGGCUAUUGUUAAUAUCCAUGAUUUUUCAAUACUUUUUUUCAAGUAAAACUAUAAACUCGUAAAGCUCUACGUUAUUAUAUUUAUUUUUUAUUGAUCAAAUGCCCAAAUUCUACUUAUGCUUCCUUAAAAUUCUGACUGAGGAAAGUUAAAUGUGCUGAUCAGUUUGUUGAUAACUGACAAUAGGCUACAGUUAAUUAUUUAAAACUUCAAGAGAUUCCUAUUUCCCCCAGUGAUAUAAUAUGUAAUUAAUUUGUAUUUUAAAUAUGAGCCGAUUUUUAAUAGAUCUUUAUUCUAAAUCUUUAGAAAAUGUUUUUGGUUCAUCAAAAAGUGUGACCAUCUGAUAAACUAAUCCAGCAAAAAAAACUGCUUAAAAUGUUACUAAAAACACAUCUAAAACCUCAUAAUUAAAUAGAAAAUGAGCCGAAUAACUGCAAAAAGAACCACCUUUUUCACCAGGCUGCUUACAGGCUUGACAGUCUAUGGUUUUAAUGCGGAGAUUUGAUUCUCUAAUAUAACUAUUAUUGGUGCUUAAUAAUUAUUAUUGAUUCUUAUUAUCAUCAUAUUUGCAAAUGAUUGUUUUCUGCUUCAUAUUUUACAUCAACUGAUACAUGAUUUUAAUGACAUUUCUAUAUGAAAGAACAAAUUAUGUCUACAAAAAUGAUUUGUAACAUUAUAAAUAUUUUUACUCUCACUUUUGAUAAUUUUUAUGUGUUCUUGAUGAAUAAAAAACAUUUUUAAAAAGCAAAACAUUUGCUAUAAAUUGAAUAGUAAUAUAUAAUGUUCUCACAAAGAUAUUGAAGUGAAAUAUGUAACAGUUGAUAUACAUAAAUCAGAAUUAUGCUAAAUGUAAUCAGUAUAGGCGUGAACUAUUUUAGUUACUGGUAUUCUAAUAAUGAGUGUAAAGAACUAAGAUUAUUUUGCUUUAAUAAUUGUCAAUAUCUCUUCUAGCGUAACAAGUAACUAUUCAUUAGAUUUAGAAUCAUUUAAAUUCCUUAAUAUUACAUUUCUAACUAUUAGCUAUUUUUUAUAUCAGUAUAAUGUUUUGAUAUAUAUAUUUUUCUAAUACCUGUUAAUUUUCCAAAACUCAAUUAUUACCUCAUUCUUUUAUUUUAUUUUCAGCUUUGUCCCUUUAUUACAGUUUUUCCUCAGUGGCUUUGGUGCAUUUCUCACAACACUGUUUACAUUUGCACAACCGGUAAUGCAUUUCUCAAAAAAAUCAGUACAAACUGCAAAACCUAGAUGAUAAUCUGCAAAACCGUGUCACUUGCUCAAAAUUGAUAGCUCAUUCCUCAAAAGAGGUAUUGAUGUAAAUGAAGGUUUCAGUGUCAUCAAGAUGAAAAUUCCUGACACCAUUGUUUAUGAACAAGAUAGUCAAAUGGCUUUGUCAUGUUUUCAUUAUAACAGUUACUCUGUACAUUUAUUAAAAUGCAAAUAAAAAAACAGAUUUUGUUGACGUCCUGAAAAUGCUCAAGACAGCGCUAUAUACUUUUGCACAGCCAUUUGAAAACUACAGUAAAGUUAGACAUCACUGCAUUUAGUGAGGUAUCUGAGUUCAUACACUUAAUAUGUGUUUUUUACAUCCUUACUGCAUUUGCUCUUUGCAGUUGUAAUUUAUUCACAGCAUUGUGCAAAAGAAUAAAUACACCCUCAUUUACAACAAACAUAAACUUUCUUUGGGUAGAGCUGUGCACAACUGUAAACAAUAUUGCUGUACAUAUCAGAACUAAACACACAUGUCUGUAAAUCAUUCAUCAAAUUGUUCAAUUUAGAAGACAUUUUUUGGGAGAAAAAUGAUUGAAAAGAUUUUAUAAAACUUGCUUGACAGAUUUUGACACCUAGUGUAACAUUUUUGUAUGUAAUGACUCAAGUAAUGAAAUGAGGACUCAGUUUAAUAUGGAAUGACUAUUCAGCAUUCACAAAUUUAGUUAAUUUUGACUGACAUGACAUAAGCAAAUGAUAAUGUUAUGGUAACACUUUACAAUAAGGGUGCAUUAGUUAACAUUAGUUAAUGCAUUAGUUAACAUGAACUAACAAUGAAUAACGCAUUUAUUAAGCAUUAACUAACCUUUGUUAAUGUUAACUAAACAUUUAUUUAUGUUAGCUAAUGCAUUAGUAAACAUGAUCUAACAGUAAUUAAGGACUUUGUUCAGCAUUACUUAAUCUUUGUUAAUGUUUAUUUACACAUUAUCUAAUGCAUCUCUUUACAUGAACAGCUUAAUUAGUUCAUGUUUACUCACUCAUACACUAACGCAUUUGUUAAUGGAUUAGAUCACUUGAUCUUAUAAUGAACAACACAUUUAUAAAGCAAUACUAAAUCCUUGUUCAUGAAAACUUACAAUGUUAGUUAACAUGAACAACAUGUUAGCAUAAUUGGUAAAGCUUUUAAUAAGUGCAUAGUUCCUGAUUAAUGUCAGGGACAAAGGAGGACUCUUUUGGAGUGUAUUACAUCAGAACCUCAGCUUUAACUGUUAUUCAUGUUUGCUAAUGCAUUAGCUAACACAUAAAUAAAUGUUUAGUUAACAUUAACAAAGGUUAGGUAAUGCUUAAUAAAUGCGUUAUUCAUUGUUAGUUCAUGUUAACUAAUGCAUUAACUAAUGUUAACUAAUGCACCCUUAUUGUAAAGUGUUAUCAAUGUGAUAAACAGCAGACAGUUGUAUGAAAGCAAUUGAUGCAUGUCCAAAAGCAUUUGCAAUUUGUUGAAAGAAACGAGAAAAUGCUACUAUGAUGUGCACAAAUGACUAAUUGUUUUCAGAAAUCCUUUAACUGUUGUGCAAAUGUAAAUAGUGUUGUGAGAAAUGCAUCAAAGCCACUGAGAAAAACUGUAAUCCGAGGUCCCCAUCACAUACACUACAGACAAUUUAGCUUAGUCAAUUCACCUAUACCGCAUGUCUUUAGACUUGUGGAGCACCCUGAGGAAACCCACGCUAACGUGGGGAGAACAUGCAACUCCAUACAGAAAUGCCAACUGGUAAUAUACCCUGACCCAACUGGCCAGGCUGAGGCUCGAACCAGGGACCUUCUUGCUUUUGGGCGAUCGGGCUACUCAUUGCGCCAUCAUGACACCUCAAUUAUUAUCUUAUUCUUAAUACUGGGGACUGGGGGUUCACCUGGAGGUUGAGGGUUGCACUGGUGUCCCUGCUCAAUAUCUGGAUGCAGCCUUUAUGAUGCAAGCUGAGAUUGCAUCACUCAGCAAUGCAGUGUCAGACACAAUGCACUCAAAUGGAGCGAGUGACGUCACUGUGAUGGCUAGGGUUAGGUGAGCCCAUUAAAAAGCAUUGGAUGCAGGCCAGAUUACACUGCACCUGGUCUGCAUACAGACCCCUCUUUCCCUCCUUGUAACAACAGAAUUAAAUGUCCUUCAAAGUUCAGUCUAUAGAGGGCGCCAGAGCACUAUUUACGUUUGCACAUUAGAAGCCACACAUUACUCAUUAGAACACAAUGUUGUAGACUGUAUGACUUUCUUUAGCAAAACUACAGUUUUGGAACAACAUUAGGUGUGUAAAUUAUUUCAGUCUGUUAUGUUACCUGUUCAGCUAUCACAUAAAACAAUUUUUAAGAUUUCACAUAUAAUAGUUUGUAUGUUCCCCCCGUGUUCGCGUGGCUUUCCUCCGGGUGCUCCGGUUUGCCCCACAGUCCGAAGACAUGCGGUAUAAGUGAACUGAAUAAACUAAAUUGGCCAUAGCCUAUGUGUGUAAAUGAGUGUGGAUGGAUAUUGGAUGGACAGUUCAUUCUGCUGUGGUGACCGCUGAUUAAUAAAGGGACUAAGGCGAAGGAAAAUUAUUCUCAUAAAAUGUCGGUAACAUUUUAUUUUUGUCAAGAAGAAAUAGUUUUGCAAACAUAAUUACAGAUGCGGGAAAAACAGAAUACUACAUUCUUACAGUGUGUGAAAAGACUAAAUUCGACAAACAUGGCAAAUCCUAAAAAAAAGUAACAUUUGUGUAAAUAUUUACAUUUUGUUCAAAUACUGAUUUUGAAUAAUUGUACAUAACCAAUCAUCUACAUACAUUUCUUUGUCUUCUUAUAAUGACCACAAAUCUGUAUACAGUGUCAGGCAAUAUAAAAGUGCAAUUUAUUUGCUUAAGUCGUUUAAAGUCUGAGGUUUGGCCGAGUGAGAACACCACGACAUCAGAUGAACAGAUCAUGUUUAAGACUUGAAAAUAAUAAUUCAGACAUAAAAAAAAGAAGAAAAGCUUCAAAAAGCACCCUCAAAGUUGUCCCCAUGACUCUCUAGCUUUGCAUGAUUAAAGUCAUUAUUCGGUCAGGUUGCAUAUGGAUUGUAGUUGGAGCUUGACACGGCUGUUAAAAUCUGCUGUUGUACUAAAAAAUAAUCACUUUUAGAUAUUUGUUACAUUCCUAACAAAUGGUGAGUUAAUCAAUUUUAUUUUUGGGUGAACCGACCGACAAUUAAGUAUUUACACAGCAACUAGCAUGCAUUAUAGUGUGUUUUGCACAUUCAUACAGCAUAUAUAAUUGUUGCUGUUGUACCAUGUUGUGCAUGUAAACACACUAAAUGUCAUACUAGAUCUCUUGUUCAUUAAAGAGGAUGUUGUAUGUGUUUGAAGAUCUCAUCUGUUUGUGUUAUUUCAACUACUUUUCUGUUUAAUGCAGUCGUGUUUAUUUGUGGAAUUUGUGCAGAAAAACUACAUUACCCAUGAAGCUGUGCUGAAAAAAAUCCUCUAAUCAGAGUCAUAGCAAGCAAAGUGCACAAAAUAAGAUCUUUAGCUUACAACCACUUUCACAAAGCAAUGCAAAUGAUGUACUUCUGUCCUAUAGUUCUCUGUUGUUUUUAGUUUGUUAUACACUACGCUUCAUGGGAUUGUAGUUCUUUUUCUCAAUAAAGCUAUACAGCAACUGUG
rnacentral:lncRNA from 1 species